rnacentral:rRNA from 1 species
UACGUAGGGACCAAGCGUUGUUCGGAUUUACUGGGCGUAAAGGGCGCGUAGGCGGCAAUUCAAGUCAUCUGUGAAAUCUCCGGGCUUAACUCGGAACGGUCAAGUGAUACUGCUGUGCUAGAGUGCAGAAGGGGCAAUCGGAAUUCUUGGUGUAGCGGUGAAAUGCGUAGAUAUCAAGAGGAACACCUGAGGUGAAGACGGGUUGCUGGGCUGACACUGACGCUGAGGCGCGAAAGCCAGGGGAGCAAACGGG